CCGCGCAACGCCUCGAGGCGGCCCACAGGCUGACCCCGGAAGUCCCCCUCAACUUCCGGUCCGCUGCUUCCCCGCCCCCCUCGCCAGCCCAGCGAGGCCGCUCUAGGCGCGGGGAGCCUAACGACUCGUGUGUUGUUCCAACUUCACUCCUAUCACUACGUGAGAGUAAUUGUUGCUGUACAUUUUUUGAAACCUCAUUAUGGCCAAACUGCAUUUUGCAGCUGGUCUCUCAGAAGCAGCAGAUAUGAACCCAGGCAUUGUGGUGGACAGUUUUUCAUCCCAGCAGACUGUGGCCCUGAGAAGGACCUUCUGGGUGACAACGCCUGUGCCACCAGUGGGCCAUGGUGGGGAUCUUGGAAGGUUGUACAUGUGCUGGCCCUGGCAUAAAACUCUCUAAAAGUAGCUUCUUUUCAUCGGUUGGAAAACCCAGAACGACCUUCUCAACGGCAUCGAAGCUCCCAGGUCUAGAAGCCAGGAGGCGCCAUGCAGGCCUCGGCGAGAACCCUGCCAUGGCUUCCUAGUCCUCCUGUCUCUGAAAGGAUGCCAGAGAGAUGCUUGCGGCAAUAACAGUGAGUUUUCUUUUUCUUCCUGAAAGUUGUUUCUUCUCAAGCAGAAGUUGCGACUGGAUUAAAAGCUCUGAGGCCCUACUCAGCCUGAAGCUGGGAGAGCCUGGGAAGGGGCUUCCAACACAGCCUAGGGGUUCAGGUGCCACCUUGGGAAAAGACAGACAUUCCCUCUUUUUGGGAUACUGUGACUGGGCAACAAUGAGUGAAGUCACAAGCCAGAGACUCCCAACUCGACCAUUUUCCAAUGUUACUUUGUUGAUAACACAUCCAGAAGAUAAACCUACCAAACCAUAUUAAGUAAAUCAUACAAUUUCAAUGGGCCAGAAUUACUCAAUCCACAGGAAAAAAGAAAAACCAGCCCAGAAUUAGUCAGCUGGGCCAGCCUAGGGGCUGCAAGCUCUCUGCAAGCAGUGCCUAAACUCUGGGGGGCCAGGGUGCAGCGGGGGCCCAGCAGGCAUCUGAGCCCCAACAGGGCAACCUCUGUGCCUGUCUCAUCAAGAGAGCAUUAAGAGGAAUGCCGACUUCACUGCUCCCAUUGUGGUGCAGCAGUAAUGAACCCGAAGUAUCCAUGACAA